rnacentral:rRNA from 1 species
GAUGAACGCUGGCUACAGGCUUAACACAUGCAAGUCGAGGGGAAACGAUAUUGGAAGCUUGCUUCCGAUAGGCGUCGACCGGCGCACGGGUGAGUAACGCGUAUCCAACCUGCCCACCACUUGGGGAUAACCUUGCGAAAGUAAGACUAAUACCCAAUGAUAUCUCUAGAAGACAUCUGAAGGAGAUUAAAGAUUUAUCGGCGAUGGAUGGGGAUGCGUCUGAUUAGCUUGUUGGCGGGGUAACGGCCCACCAAGGCGACGAUCAGUAGGGGUUCUGAGAGGAAGGUCCCCCACAUUGGAACUGAGACACGGUCCAAACUCCUACGGGAGGCAGCAGUGAGGAAUAUUGGUCAAUGGACGAGAGUCUGAACCAGCCAAGUAGCGUGCAGGAUGACGGCCCUAUGGGUUGUAAACUGCUUUUAUAAGGGAAUAAAGUGAGCCUCGUGAGGCUUUUUGCAUGUACCUUAUGAAUAAGGACCGGCUAAUUCCGUGCCAGCAGCCGCGGUAA